rnacentral:tRNA from 1 species
GUCCCUGUAGCUCAGUUGGAUAGAGCAUUUGCCUUCUAAGCAAAGGGUCACCUGUUCAAAUCAGGUCAGGGACGCCA